rnacentral:rRNA from 1 species
AUUGAACGCUGGCGGCAGGCCUAACACAUGCAAGUCGAGCGGAUGAAGGGUGCUUGCUCCUGGAUUCAGCGGCGGACGGGUGAGUAAUGCCUAGGAAUCUGCCUGGUAGUGGGGGAUAACGUCCGGAAACGGGCGCUAAUACCGCAUACGUCCUGAGGGAGAAAGUGGGGGGUCUUCGGACCUCACGCUAUCAGAUGAGCCUAGGUCGGGUUAGCUAGUUGGUGGGGUAAAGGCCUACCAAGGCGACGAUCCGUAACUGGUCUGAGAGGAUGGUCAGUCACACUGGAACUGAGACACGGUCCAGACUCCUAAGGGAGGCAGCAGUGGGGAAUAUUGGACAAUGGGCGAAAGCCUGAUCCAGCCAUGCCGAGUGUGUGAAGAAGGUCUUCGGAUUGUAAAGCACUUUAAGUGGGGAGGAAGGGCAGUAAGUUAAGACGUUGCUGUUUUGACGGUAACAACAGAAUAAGCACCGGCUAACUUCGUG